rnacentral:rRNA from 1 species
AAAAAUACUUUUAUACUAUCGCAGAGAAACUGUGAUAGGGGAACCCCGAGUGCCCGUAUACCCGGGCUGGCCAGGUGUUUAAAAUGCAUCUGAAGAAAGGGCCGGGGAAGACCGGUGCCAGCCGCCGCGGUAAUACCGGCGGCUCGAGUGGUGGCCACUUUUAUUGGGCUUAAAGCGUUCGUAGCUGGAUUUUUAAGUCUCUUGGGAAAUCUGCAGGCUCAACCUGCAGGCGUUCAAGAGAUACUGGAAAUCUAGGAACCGGGGGGAGGUAAGAGGUACUCCAGGGGUAGAAGUGAAAUCCUGUAAUCCCCGGGGGACCCCCGAUGGCGAGGGCUCCUACCAGUACGGCUCCGAAAGUGAGGGACGAAACUGGGGGAGCAAACCGGAUUAAAACCCGGGUAGUCCCAGCCGUAACAAGGCGCGUUAGGUGUAUCGGUGACCCCAAGUCACCAAGGGCCGAAGGGAAACCGGGAACGGGCCCCCUGGGAAGUACGGUCGCAAGGGUGAAACUUAAAGGAAUUGGCGGGGAAAAGGGCAAAUUCCUUUAAACCUGCGGGACUAGUUCUCUUUAUGGGGGUUAAUUCUGAGCUGGGCGUAAUCAUUGGUCAUACUGUUUCCGGAAAAAAAGUUUUGCCCCCGCCGGCCCCCGACCCACUUUGCCCCUCAGGGUGGGUAAUAGUGGUGGGAAGUUUUAAGAUUCCC